rnacentral:tRNA from 1 species
UAAAAAAUUCAAAUAAGCUAGUUUGUUGAAGCAGAAUGUCGGGGGUUCGAAUCCCUCAUCCUCUACCAUAAAAAAUA